UACGUAGGGGCAAGCGUUGUCCGGAAUCAUUGGGCGUAAAGAGCGUGUAGGCGGCCAGAUAAGUCCGCUGUGAAAUCUCGAGGCUCAACUUCGAGCUGUCGGUGGAAACUGUCUGGCUAGAGUCCGGAAGAGGAGAAUGGAAUCCUGGUGUAGCGGUGAAAUGCGCAGAUAUCAGGAAGAACACCUAUGGCGAAGGCAGCUCUCUGGGACGGUACUGACGCUGAGACGCGAAAGCGUGGGGAGCGAACAGG
rnacentral:rRNA from 1 species